GGCGAUGCGUCUUAAGCAUGCAAGUCGAGCGGGCUUAUUCGGGCAACUGGAUAAGUUAGCGGCGAACUGGUGAGUAACACGUAGGUAAUCUGCCGUGAAGUGGGGGAUAACCCAUGGAAACAUGGACUAAUACCGCAUAUACUCUUGCUACAUAAGUAGAGUAGAGGAAAGUUUUUUCGCUUCACGAUGAGCCUGCGGCCUAUUAGCCUGUUGGUAGGGUAAUGGCCUACCAAAGCUACGAUAGGUAGCCGACCUGAGAGGGUGACCGGCCACAUUGGGACUGAGAUACGGCCCAGACUCCUACGGGAGGCAGCAGCUGAGAACUUCCAAUGGACGAAAGUCUGAUGGAGGACAUCGCGUGAGGGAUGAAGGCCUUGAUUAUCGGA
rnacentral:rRNA from 1 species